UUUCCUUUUUGGUCUACAAUAUCAGACAUUUUCUCCUAUCUUCUUUUAAGUUGUAAACGUCUGUUUCAUGGUAAAUGUUGAUUUGAAGAAGUGGAAGCAUAUUCUAGUCCCCCGUAGCUAAAUCGACUUGUUCUCGGGAUAAAUGGAGGCUCCAUAAGAUAAUAUCAUCGUGCAUAAUGUUGAUCAAGAAUUUGAAUUUAGAAUUGGCAUGGUGUUUGCUAAUGAGGACGAAGCUUAUAAUAUAUACAAUGCAUAUGCAAUUUGCAAAGGAUUUGGAGUGCGAAAAGGACAAAAAGCAAAUAAUAGCAAAGGAAUACUGCGAUGAUGCAAAUUUGUUUCUAAUUGUGAAGGACAUUCUCCACCGAUCCCACCUCAUGAGCAAAGAGAUGUUUAUAGGACAAUGAAGAGAACUGGAUGUCAAGCUUAUAGUAAAUUCAUAAUUGAAGAUAGAGUUUGGGUAGUUUCUAAGUUUGAGGAUGUCCAUAAUCAUCCCUUCAUUGAAGACAAACAAAAACAUCUUACACGAUCAUAUCGACGCAUCACGGAUACUAGUAA